CGUCAAAUCAUCAUGCCCCUUAUGACCUGGGCUACACACGUACUACAAUGGCCGCCAACAAAGGGAAGCAAUACCGCGAGGUGGAGCGAAUCCCCAAAAGCGGUCCCAGUUCAGAUUGCAGGCUGCAACCCGCCUGCAUGAAGACGGAAUUGCUAGUAAUCGCGGAUCAGCAUGCCGCGGUGAAUACGUUCCCGGGCCUU
rnacentral:rRNA from 1 species